ensembl:misc_RNA Gm26329 predicted gene, 26329
GACAGGUCCAGAGGUGGUGAGUUAUCUCAACCGAUUGCUCACAGUCAGUUAAAGAUAGAACUCCAUGUUCUACCCUCCCCCUUUUAACUAGUGCACUUGGUUAGUCUAAA